UAAAAACUCGCACUGGAUUGUCAU
rnacentral:piRNA from 1 species